UGAUGAAGAACGUAGCGAAAUGCGAUACGUAGUGUGAAUUGCAGAAUUCAGUGAAUCAUCGAAUCUUUGAACGCACAUUGCACCUCUCGGUAUUCCGGGAGGUAUGCCUGUUCGAGCGUCAUUUGUACCCUCAAGCUCUGCUUGGUGUUGGGUGUUUGUUCCGCCUCUGUGUGUGAACUCGCCUCAAAACAAUUGGCAGCCGGCGUACUUGUUUCGGAGCGCAGCACAUUUUGCGAUCCAGAUCAACGUACAGCGGCAUCCAAGAAGCCUUAUUUAACGCUCUUGACCUCGGAUCAGGUAGGGAUACCCGCUGAACUUAAGCAUAUCAAUAAGCGGAGGA
rnacentral:misc_RNA from 1 species